UCGAGAAUUUUUCUCAAUGGGGGAAACCCUGAAGGAGCGACGCCGCGUGGAGGAUGAAGGUUUUCGGAUUGUAACCUCCUGUCAUUAGGGAACAAUUGCAUGGAUUUAACUGAUCUGUGUUUGAUAGUACCUGAAGAGGAAGAGACGGCUAACUCUGUGCCAGCAGCCGCGGUAAUACAGAGGUCUCAAGCGUUGUUCGGAUUCAUUGGGCGUAAAGGGUGCGUAGGCGGUGAGGUAAGUUGGAUGUGAAAUCCCGGGGCUUAACCCCGGAACUGCAUUCAAUACUGUUUCACUAGAGUACUGGAGAGGAGAUUGGAAUUCACGGUGUAGCAGUGAAAUGCGUAGAUAUCGUGAGGAAGACCAGUGGCGAAGGCGAAUCUCUGGACAGUUACUGACGCUGAGGCACGAAGGCCAGGGGAGCAAACG
rnacentral:rRNA from 1 species